CCUGAGAGGCAGUCCCUGCAGCAGGCUUGAGCCUCUCUCACUGACAGCCUGCCUCGCAUAAUGUUAAGCAGGCAUCGGACACUUGCUGGAAGGCAGGGAAUUGCAAUGAAAGAGCACGGAGGUGAGAAGCUGUGCUCCUUGGGGUGAAGGCAGCUUCUGUGCUCCUGGGAUCUACUGUUAAGCCAGGGUGACGCCAGCUUGCAUGCUACCGGAGGGGAAGAGAAAAUUUGGACACACAGGGAGAAAACCACAGGGAGGAGAUGGCCAUCUACAAUUCCAGAAAAGCAGCCUCAGAAGAAACCAAUCUGCAAACAUCUUUAUCUGCAACUCCCUGCCUCCCAAAUGGAGUAAAGAGACAGAAAGGGAAUGAAUUUCCAAGAAGACCAGCGUA
rnacentral:lncRNA from 1 species